AACUUUCAGCAACGGAUCUCUUGGCUCUCGCAUCGAUGAAGAACGCAGCGAAAUGCGAUAAGUAAUGUGAAUUGCAGAAUUCAGUGAAUCAUCGAAUCUUUGAACGCACCUUGCGCUCCUUGGUAUUCCGAGGAGCAUGCCUGUUUGAGUGUCAUKU
rnacentral:rRNA from 1 species